GCAUGGCAUGCUUUGAUCACAUACUAACAUGGUGGAUGUUUUAUGAGUCUCCCCUCAUAAGCUGAUGGCUAGUUGGUGGUGGUUGAUCUUCCGAUGGGACGACGCAUGAGUGGCGACUAGGAUGUGCUUUCAUGCAGGCUUUGCGUAUCAUACGUCGAACUGUGUGGAGCUGUCCAUUUCAGGAAUCCAGUGCUAUGGCUUUUCUUUGCUCGUUGCGAAAUGAUUGUGCGGUUUCUGUGUUAGCUACCGAUUUUGGCAUGCGGGAUUUGAUUGAAUCCAUUGUGGUUUCUUCUUUCCACAGCUGGCUUGUCCGGAGAAGGUGGAUGUUGCAGUGGUCUCUUGUGUUCCACGCCAGUUAUCCCUCCAUGCGAGUGGAUUUGUGAUGGCUCAUGGGUGGCUAUCCAUACUCUCGGAUAUGUGAAAUGUUCGGUUGAUGUUUGGGUCCUUGACCUAUGCGUAUCAUUUCUCGAGCAUGUAGCUUUAUUUCGUAUGACCCUCGAGCGUGUUCCCGAGCUCAUUGAGCCUUAGUGCUCGUUGUUCGUCAUGGAGAUGUCGAGGUGUUUGAGGAAUGC
rnacentral:misc_RNA from 1 species